GCCCCGGUAGCUCAACUGGAUAGAGCAUCGCCCUUCUAAGGCGAGGGUUACAGGUUCGAGUCCUGUCCGGGGUACUA
rnacentral:tRNA from 1 species